CAACGCUUUUGACACGUCAAACUUUUCUAAACAUCAAGAAAAUCAUGCUGCUGAGAAAUCCUAGAAAUGUGAAGAAUGUGACAAAGCCUCUAAAUGAUUGUCACACUUGAUCGUAGGGCCCAGACAGAAGAGAAGAGUCACAUCAUCUAGAUGAUGAAUGAAAAGAUAUGUCAUUAUUCUCCUUUGGGCAGUGCUUCUGCAGAAAAGUUGCACCUUCUAGGUGUUGGACUCAGCAAUAUAUCACAAUGUCUGCGGUAUUUUGGAAGGAGAGGAGAGUCACCAUUACUUAGGUGCUAGGCCCAGCAAUACAUCUCAAUCACUUCUUGGGCAAAGCCCAAGCAGUAAAAAAGAGUCACAUUACCUAGGUUCUGGGUAUAGCAAUAUGUCACAAAUGCCCCUAAGAAGAGGGCCCAGGAAAAGAGAGUCACCUUGGUGAGAAUGUCAGAGAUAUUCCAUUUUUGGGUAUUCACAAAAAAGAAUAAAGUCCCAUAACCUAGAAGGUGGGCUCUGCUCCAUGACACAAAUCACCCUAGUGGGCAGGUCCAUUAAAGAGAAGGCUGUCAAAGCACAUAGAUGCUGGGCAAAGUGAUAUGUCAUAAUCCCCAUGAUGAUAGGCCCAGAGACAUGUCACAAUGACCUCUUUAGGCAGAGACCAGGCAGAAGAAUCACAUCACUUGUGUGCUGGCCCUAGUGAUAAGUCACUCUCAUUUCUGUGGACAUGGCCCAGGCAGAAGAGCAGAGUCACAUUACCUAAGCGCUGGGUCAAGAGAUAUGUCACAAUCUUUUACAUGGGCAAAACCCAGGUAAAAAAGAGGAGUAAUAUCAGAUAGUAGGUGUUGCCAGAGAUAUGUCAAAAUGCCCCCUGUAUGAAAGACUCAGGCAGUCAAAACACAUUAGUUGGUUUCUUAACCUAGUGAUAUGUUAUAAUCUUUCCUGUGGGCAUGAUGCAGGCAGAAGACGAGAGUCAUGUGAUGGAUGCAGAGACAUGUCACAAGGUCUUCUGUGGGCAGGGUCCAGACUGAAGCCUUCCACCUGCUAGGGGUUGAGCCCAAUGAUAUGUCACAAUACCCAAAUUAUGCAGGGCCCAGGCAAAAAAAACGAGAGGCACAUCACCUGGGUUCUGGAUCCAACGAUAUAUCACAAUUUUCUAUUUUGGCAAGACCCAGGCAGAAAGAAAAGUUACAUCACCUAGGUGAUGAAUGAAAAUACAUAUUAUAAUAGUUUUGUGGGCAGGACCCAUGCGGGAGAGUCACAUCACCUAGGUGUUGGACCCAGAAAUAUGUCACAAUAUACAGUGUAUACAGAGCUGAGGCAUGAGACAAUAGUAACUUCACUCAUUUGUUGAGCCCAGCUAUACAAUCCUUUUUUGGGCACAGCCGAAGUAGUAGAGGAGAGUUACAUCACCUUGGUGCUGGGUCCAGCAAUGUGUCACCAUACCUGCUGAGGGGAGGGUACAGGCAAGAGAGCCACAUCACUUAGGUGAGGGACCCAGAGAUAUCUCACAGUACCCCCUGUGGGUAGAACUCAGGAAAAAGGAGAGAGUCACAUAAUCUAGAAGCUGGGCUCAGCUGUAUGUUACAAUCACCCAGUGGACAGGUCCCAGGCAUGAGAGUAGAGUCACAUCACAUAGGUGCUGGACCAAGCAAUUUGUCACAACCUUCACUGUGGACAGGUCCCCAGAAAAAGAGAAUCACAUCAUUUAGGUAACAAAACCUGAGUUAGUCGCUGUUACUUGUUUGGGCAGAGGUCAGGAAGAAGUGUCACACAACAUGUAUGCUGGACUAAGCAAUACAUCACUCUCUCUGUUUUAGGCAUGGCCCAGGCAGGAGAGAAGGGUCAUAUCACCUAAGCUCUGGAUUCGCAGAUAGGCCCCAAUCUCUUUUUUGGGCAAUGCUCGGGUAAGAGAGCAGAGUCACAUCAAGUGGUUGAUGGGCCCAGAGAUAUAUCACAUUGCCCCUUGUGGACAGGGACCAGGCAGGGGACUCACAUCACGAUAGAGGUAGGACAAGGAAUACAUCACAAUACAUUUUGAGAGCAGAACCAAAAAAGAGUAACAUAAUCUUUGUGUUGAGUGCAGCAAUAUGUUACACUUUUCUUUGUGGGCAGAACGUGUAAAGAAGGAAAAAGUUGGCCGGACACGGUGGCCUGUAAUCCCAACACUUUGGGAGGUCAAGGUGGGCAGAUCACCUGAGGUCAGGAGUUCAAGACCAGCCUGGCCAACAUGGCAAAACGCUGUCUCUACUAAAAAUACAAAAAUGGGCUGGGUGUGGUGGCAGGCACCUGUAAUUCUAGCUACUCAGGAGGCUGAGGCAGGAGAGUCACCUGAACCUUUGAGGCAGAGGCUGCAGUAAGCAAAGAUCACGCCACUGCACUCCAGUGUGGGUGACACAGCAAGACUCCGUCUC
rnacentral:sRNA from 1 species